rnacentral:lncRNA from 1 species
UUUAUAAAGGAGAAAAUUGUCAUUUUACAUUUCAAGUCUUACUAACACCCUUACUUUUAUGUAUUUAUGUUUCUUGUGAUUUAAUUAAAUAUGUUUUAUUUUAAUUAAGUAUUUUAUAUAUUUUAGGGGCAUUAUGGUUAUUUCACAAUAAACGAGAGAUCAGACGGCAAAACGGACAUCACUUUUAAACUCAGGACAAUCGAAAACCUUAGGAGGAGCAUAAAAGGAAAAAUGGUAUUGUUCACAUGUACGGUACUGUAUACGUUACUGUUCACGACACUGUUCACAUAGACGGAUCGAUGACGUGUCAUUGACCGAUGAUGUGGCAUUGACUGAUAAGGUGUCAUGAUCCUGUUGGACUAAAAUUCUUAUGCAUUGUUGAUUGGUGACGUGGCAGCAUGUUAGUGGACCAAAAAUUGCGCGUACGGUACAUGCAUAUACAUAGAAUUAUUUUCAACCAAACCGCGUUACUGUUCAAGCCGGGUCAAACCGUAUCACUGUUCAAACCACGUGGUCAAACUGCGUACUGUUGACUAAUGAUGUGGCGCAAUCCUGAGCGUCCAAACUGUUUUUAAUCCGAUGGCCAUGAUUUUCUCAAUGUAUCUAUAAAAAGGGGGUCUUCCCCCCCUAAUUUGGCAUAUCUGAAUCCAUUUUUGGGCUCCAUUUUCUGUAAUUCCUUCUCCAUCUUGUAUUUUUUAUGUAUUUUAAUAAAUUCCCAUUUUGCCCCUAGUUCAAUUAUGAGUAGCUAAUUUUCUUUCAAGCUUGGGUUGAAGGUGAAGUCUCAACAUGUGUCAUGAGCUUUAUUUGGUAAAUUUAUUUUCUCUUCCCCUCUAAUUUUUAUGGAUGUUUUGACUUUUCAUCGACAAAUAAUAAUACUCUUGUCUAGAUACCGCCCUGGCUUCACCGGCUCCCUAGUACAAAGUUAUUAUUAUUUGGCACGAUAAGUCCUUAGCACCAUAUUGAUUAGAGUAUGGAUCAUGAGGUGUGGAUACCCCCCUUAUGAUUUAAUUGGCACUAAUAAGGAAUAUUUAGCCCAUGAUGCAUGUUGAUGCAGAUCCAGAUACCCAAGCGCUUCAAUUAUAAAAGUUUUCUCUUCAAUUUAUUCCCGUUAUUUUAAGUUGAAUUUUAGGAUAAUUUAAAUCACUUCCACAACAAAUCCAACCAUUCUCAUAGAAAAUUAAUUCUACAUAUAAUUAAAAUCUACUUCCUCGUGGAAUCGACACUCGGCACCAUUGAUCUAUACUACAAUAGAUUCGUGCACUUACGAGUUCAAUAAAAUUUACACAACAACUAUGUGUACUUUAUUAGAUGAUAAAUUCAAUUGCUAGUAAAAUUGUUAUUAUACCAUUCAAUAACUGAAUACGACAUUAAUAGAGAUACAAAUUGAGAUUUAAAAUAUUGAGAUCGCUAACAUUAUUUAAAAUUUCCCUUUUAAAAUAAAUAAUUAUUAUAAUCUCUAUUGGAUUCAAUAGGCACAAAGUUGAAGGACUAUGACAAUUAGCCCCUUAGAUACAUCGUAACAACACAUCAUUUUCAUUGUAGUAUCAUUCAUUACAAGCAAGAGGAAACUAAAUGAAUGAAGAAUCAUUACUAAUUACAUCAAUUUUAUUAGACGACUAAAUAAAUUACUUAGUGGGGUGUGUGUGUAUUAGCAAGUUGGUAAAUUGGAUUAAUUUAAUUUUUUUAGUAAGUAUA